rnacentral:lncRNA from 1 species
CAGUCUUAAAACUCGAACAUAUAUCAUAAAACGUACAUGGAGAAUUAAAAAAAUAAUUUUGCAGUGAGAAAAUUGCAAUCUGGUUUUUUCUCUCGGGAAUAAUGUCAAACACUAGGAGUGCAAAGAACUUGGGUUAACAGUUUAUCCAAGUUCACAAAAUAACCGUCGGGACUAGCAGCUUUCUUUGCUUUCUUCUUCCAUUCAAUGGCUUUUGUUUUCAUUUCCACACCCUUUUCUCCUUCUAUUAACUCCCUAAC